UAUUUUCACCACUGUUAAUAAACAAAAAAUCUGCAGAGCCUGAAGGUAGGACAGUUCUCGCUCUCUGUUUAGGAAAGACCUGUGGGUUCCAUCACCCUUAGGCCGGUGCACAUGCAGUGAGAGUUUCCAGCUGGAGGCGGCUCCGUGACCAGGAGCUCAGCUGCAUAGGUGAGGUUUUAUUUCUUGAGCUGACAGUGGUGGAUGCUGUGGUGAUCACCGAACACUUCUUGGACCUUCUUGACGAUCCUAAACAUUUUUACAGUUUAGCACGGGAGUCACUAAUGCUCCCCAGCUGUCCACUAAAGCGGGUCUGAGGUCCCAGGCCAUACUCAUCCAAUGACAGGACCAUGGUCCUUGCAGCCAACCUAAUUCCCUUUCACCACAGGCUCCUUGUCUGCACAGCCCUGAGGAGGGGGUCUCCCUCCCUACUGAGCCAGUGCACAGCCCUCUUUGAACACUUCUCACUAUGGGAAGGUCCUGCUUCGUGAAGAGUUCUUCCACCUGCUGGAAAUCAGUGUGCAUGUGAAUACAGAUGGCCAGGGAAACCCUCAGGUCUUUGAGGAUGUCAGACCCCUGCCUUCCUCACCCCAAUUUUUCUUUCUCCAGGCAAAACCUUAGGCUGUUUAUGCAGACAGGUAAACUAUAUUGGCUUCAGGUGUAUCACAAGCUUCAGGCAUAGCUGGAUGCAGGUGCCCAGCUGGUGUUUCUGUGUGUUUCAGCGCUGCUCUCCAACAUGUUGGCUUUAUCCUCAGGCCCACAGCCAUCCAGCUUCACAUUCCCUGGAGGUUCUAGCGAGGCUCGAUGCUCCCUGCAAAACUGCCAGCAGGCUUGGGUCAUGUGGCCAUCCCUGAACCUGCCACUGUGGCCUGGGAAACAGAGCACUCUGAUUGGUUAAACCUGCAUCACAGGAGCAUCAGUGCAUCCCAGAGGCAGUGUCAGCCCCGGCUGAACCACGUGGGCAGAAAGUGUGAAGGAAUGCUCCCCCCGAGAAAUCAAGGUGUUAUUACCACCAAGAGACAAGGUGUGUAAGUUAGACCAAGGUUCUGUCCCAGAGAUCCGCAGCAGCUGAGCCAAGGUGGAACUUUAUCUUCCCUGACGUUCCUUAGAUGCGAUCAGUCCUGGGCUGAUGCGACUCUUUCUGACAGUGGGCCCCAGCAGCUGAGUAUUAUCCACAUUGGAUGUAAAAGCUGUGAAAACACGACCACAUUUGCUGCUGCUGUCCUGGCCACUUAUAAACUCAGUUCCCACUCAAACAUCCGUCCUGCUCAGCAGGUCUCCUCGCCUCUGCCCUCAGGAUCUUUUCUGUCCAAGUCACAUAUACAAGUUGAUGACAAAGGAAGUCUUCACAUCUUGCUGAAGCUGUAGAAUGUUCUGAACUUGCUGGGAGAUGAUGCUGGAGAACUCAGGGAUCCCGCAGACAGUCUCUGACAAGCUGAGGCUCUUUCUUGCUCCACCAGCAAUGUGUGAAGAAUGAGAACACCCAGCUUGAAGGACAACACUGUACUCCAGAGUGAGUUGAAUGUCACAGAACUCAGAGGCAUGCGGUGCACAGGGUGCUUUGAGUAGUUAGUGCUCGAAGGGCCAAGGAAAGACCCCUGGGCAUUUCUGUGGGAAAACCAUUCCUCCUCCAAUGAACUUUUCUGCAUUCUGAGAAUUAGUACAUUAAUCUAAGAAUUAGCAAAUUAACCUAAAUUUUGUUUGCUGGAAGAUAAAAUGUAGGUAUUUUCAUAGCUUCAUUUUUUUCAAAAUAAAAUCCCAACUGAACAGUUUUCUUCUGUUACUAAGAAAUGCUCAUUCCCAGUGGCAGGGGAUUUGCGGUCAAAGCGUUUUUUUUCUUGGGCUCAUGAGGCCCCCAGCACGGGUCCAGACUCUGGGUAUCUUGAGGGUGGGGCCCACGUUGGGUCAUUCCUGGAGAGAAGUCUGGAAUGGGCGUGGCUCCAUGCCUGUGCAUUAAGUGGGGGAGUGAAUGGGCGUGUGAUGGGGCCCAGGGAGUCCUGGGCACUGGCAGAGCCUCCCAGCCCUGCAUAGCCGAGCAGGGCUAUCACCUCCUCCUCACCUCUCUGCUGGAGGUGGGAGGCCCAGGGAUCUCUCCUGCCCUGCUCACCAUCAAAGUCCCCAGGCAGAGGGGUGCCUCCUCCUCUCCCGCCUUCCUCGUGGGGGUGGUGUAGCCUCAAGGGCCUGACUCACCGGGUGGGGAGGAGCCCCAGAGCGAAGUCUCCCAAGGCCACGCCCCUUUAGGGGUGCAGCCAGGCUGUGCUGUGGGUGCGGGGCAACUGGGCCAGUCCCGGCUGCCUUCUACCUUGCUCCUCUGUGACUGAGGGUUUCCUGCUCUCUCCAGGCCUCUGUUUUCUCCUCUACCAAACGGAGGUGAGCCUCGACUUCGCAGACCCCAGUGCGCAGGGCCUGGCACGUAGACGCCGGCUCCGUCCUCACCGAGGGCGGCCCACGGCACGCCCCGCACAGGUGGAGACGAUGCCGGUGUAGGCACGCCGCAGCCCUGGAGCAUGUCCUCCCCGGGGAGGUGGCUGGCUGGGCACUGAACUCAGGCGGGGCCCUCGGACACACCUGCAGCCACUCCACUCUGCAUGCCCCGUGCCCGGUGCUGCCCCUCCCUGUGCUUGGUCUCCUGAACCACGGAUGACCCGACUGGCCGAGGUGGAAGUGGAGGUGAGGAGGCUGAGUCCCCUGGGAGCCUGAGGCUUUGAUGGCCCUCCAACCACAGGACCAGCAGACCCCAGAGGCUGGAUGGGGGCUGGAGACUUUCUGCCUGACCUGGGCCGCCAGCACCCGGACGGCAGGGACCACUUGUCUCUGCUCACUCUGAGCCCUCCGAGGUGCCAGUGAGUGAAGAGAGCUCUGCGCGGCGGCGUCCUAGCUUAGAGGUCGGAACGUUUCCCAGACGGGGAAGAGGACGUCACAGGGAGAGCCGUGGUGAGUGAAGGCAGGGGCCUGGCC